GCAAGUCGAGCGGAAACGACAUUAUUGAUUCUUCGGAGGAUUUAAUGGGCGUCGAGCGGCGGACGGGUGAGUACUGCCUAGGCAAUUGCCUUGAUGUGGGGGAUAACCAUUGGAAACGAUGGCUAAUACCGCAUAAUGCCUACGGGCCAAAGAGGGGGAUCUUCUGACCUCUCGCGUCAAGAUAUGCCUAGGUGGGAUUAGCUAGUUGGUGAGGUAAUGGCUCACCAAGGCGACGAUCCCUAGCUGGUCUGAGAGGAUGAUC
rnacentral:rRNA from 1 species